rnacentral:rRNA from 1 species
CGCGUAGGCGGACCUUCAAGUCGGGUGUGAAAACCGGCGGCUCAACUGCCGGCCUGCAUUCGAUACUGUUGGUCUUGAGUACAUGAGAGGAAAGCGGAAUUCCAGGUGUAGCGGUGAAAUGCGUAGAUAUCUGGAAGAACACCAGUAGCGAAGGCGGCUUUCUGGCGUGAUACUGACGCUGAAGCGCGAAGGCUAAGGGGGAGCGAAACA